GUGUGACUGCGUACCUUUUGUAUAAUGGGUCAGCGACUUAUAUUCUGUAGCAAGGUUAACCGAAUAGGGGAGCCGAAGGGAAACCGAGUCUUAACUGGGCGUUAAGUUGCAGGGUAUAGACCCGAAACCCGGUGAUCUAGCCAUGGGCAGGUUGAAGGUUGGGUAACACUAACUGGAGGACCGAACCGACUAAUGUUGAAAAAUUAGCGGAUGACUUGUGGCUGGGGGUGAAAGGCCAAUCAAACCGGGAGAUAGCUGGUUCUCCCCGAAAGCUAUUUAGGUAGCGCCUCGUGAAUUCAUCUCCGGGGGUAGAGCACUGUUUCGGCAAGGGGGUCAUCCCGACUUACCAACCCGAUGCAAACUGCGAAUACCGGAGAAUGUUAUCACGGGAGACACACGGCGGGUGCUAACGUCCGUCGUGAAGAGGGAAACAACCCAGACCGCCAGCUAAGGUCCCAAAGUCAUGGUUAAGUGGGAAACGAUGUGGGAAGGCCCAGACAGCCAGGAUGUUGGCUUAGAAGCAGCCAUCAUUUAAAGAAAGCGUAAUAGCUCACUGGUCGAGUCGGCCUGCGCGGAAGAUGUAACGGGGCUAAACCAUGCACCGAAGCUGCGGCAGCGACGCUUAUGCGUUGUUGGGUAGGGGAGCGUUCUGUAAGCCUGCGAAGGUGUGCUGUGAGGCAUGCUGGAGGUAUCAGAAGUGCGAAUGCUGACAUAAGUAACGAUAAAGCGGGUGAAAAGCCCGCUCGCCGGAAGACCAAGGGUUCCUGUCCAACGUUAAUCGGGGCAGGGUGAGUCGACCCCUAAGGCGAGGCCGAAAGGCGUAGUCGAUGGGAAACAGGUUAAUAUUCCUGUACUUGGUGUUACUGCGAAGGGGGGACGGAGAAGGCUAUGUUGGCCGGGCGACGGUUGUCCCGGUUUAAGCGUGUAGGCUGGUUUUCCAGGCAAAUCCGGAAAAUCAAGGCUGAGGCGUGAUGACGAGGCACUACGGUGCUGAAGCAACAAAUGCCCUGCUUCCAGGAAAAGCCUCUAAGCAUCAGGUAACAUCAAAUCGUACCCCAAACCGACACAGGUGGUCAGGUAGAGAAUACCAAGGCGCUUGAGAGAACUCGGGUGAAGGAACUAGGCAAAAUGGUGCCGUAACUUCGGGAGAAGGCACGCUGAUAUGUAGGUGAAGCGACUUGCUCGUGGAGCUGAAAUCAGUCGAAGAUACCAGCUGGCUGCAACUGUUUAUUAAAAACACAGCACUGUGCAAACACGAAAGUGGACGUAUACGGUGUGACGCCUGCCCGGUGCCGGAAGGUUAAUUGAUGGGGUUAGCGCAAGCGAAGCUCUUGAUCGAAGCCCCGGUAAACGGCGGCCGUAACUAUAACGGUCCUAAGGUAGCGAAAUUCCUUGUCGGGUAAGUUCCGACCUGCACGAAUGGCGUAAUGAUGGCCAGGCUGUCUCCACCCGAGACUCAGUGAAAUUGAACUCGCUGUGAAGAUGCAGUGUACCCGCGGCAAGACGGAAAGACCCCGUGAACCUUUACUAUAGCUUGACACUGAACAUUGAGCCUUGAUGUGUAGGAUAGGUGGGAGGCUUUGAAGUGUGGACGCCAGUCUGCAUGGAGCCGACCUUGAAAUACCACCCUUUAAUGUUUGAUGUUCUAACGUUGACCCGUAAUCCGGGUUGCGGACAGUGUCUGGUGGGUAGUUUGACUGGGGCGGUCUCCUCCUAAAGAGUAACGGAGGAGCACGAAGGUUGGCUAAUCCUGGUCGGACAUCAGGAGGUUAGUGCAAUGGCAUAAGCCAGCUUGACUGCGAGCGUGACGGNAGGCCGAAAGGCGUAGUCGAUGGGAAACAGGUUAAUAUUCCUGUACUUGGUGUUACUGCGAAGGGGGGACGGAGAAGGCUAUGUUGGCCGGGCGACGGUUGUCCCGGUUUAAGCGUGUAGGCUGGUUUUCCAGGCAAAUCCGGAAAAUCAAGGCUGAGGCGUGAUGACGAGGCACUACGGUGCUGAAGCAACAAAUGCCCUGCUUCCAGGAAAAGCCUCUAAGCAUCAGGUAACAUCAAAUCGUACCCCAAACCGACACAGGUGGUCAGGUAGAGAAUACCAAGGCGCUUGAGAGAACUCGGGUGAAGGAACUAGGCAAAAUGGUGCCGUAACUUCGGGAGAAGGCACGCUGAUAUGUAGGUGAAGCGACUUGCUCGUGGAGCUGAAAUCAGUCGAAGAUACCAGCUGGCUGCAACUGUUUAUUAAAAACACAGCACUGUGCAAACACGAAAGUGGACGUAUACGGUGUGACGCCUGCCCGGUGCCGGAAGGUUAAUUGAUGGGGUCAGCGCAAGCGAAGCUCUUGAUCGAAGCCCCGGUAAACGGCGGCCGUAACUAUAACGGUCCUAAGGUAGCGAAAUUCCUUGUCGGGUAAGUUCCGACCUGCACGAAUGGCGUAAUGAUGGCCAGGCUGUCUCCACCCGAGACUCAGUGAAAUUGAACUCGCUGUGAAGAUGCAGUGUACCCGCGGCAAGACGGAAAGACCCCGUGAACCUUUACUAUAGCUUGACACUGAACAUUGAGCCUUGAUGUGUAGGAUAGGUGGGAGGCUUUGAAGUGUGGACGCCAGUCUGCAUGGAGCCGACCUUGAAAUACCACCCUUUAAUGUUUGAUGUUCUAACGUUGACCCGUAAUCCGGGUUGCGGACAGUGUCUGGUGGGUAGUUUGACUGGGGCGGUCUCCUCCUAAAGAGUAACGGAGGAGCACGAAGGUUGGCUAAUCCUGGUCGGACAUCAGGAGGUUAGUGCAAUGGCAUAAGCCAGCUUGACUGCGAGCGUGACGGCGCGAGCAGGUGCGAAAGCAGGUCAUAGUGAUCCGGUGGUUCUGAAUGGAAGGGCCAUCGCUCAACGGAUAAAAGGUACUCCGGGGAUAACAGGCUGAUACCGCCCAAGAGUUCAUAUCGACGGCGGUGUUUGGCACCUCGAUGUCGGCUCAUCACAUCCUGGGGCUGAAGUAGGUCCCAAGGGUAUGGCUGUUCGCCAUUUAAAGUGGUACGCGAGCUGGGUUUAGAACGUCGUGAGACAGUUCGGUCCCUAUCUGCCGUGGGCGCUGGAGAACUGAGGGGGGCUGCUCCUAGUACGAGAGGACCGGAGUGGACGCAUCACUGGUGUUCGGGUUGUCAUGCCAAUGGCACUGCCCGGUAGCUAAAUGCGGAAGAGAUAAGUGCUGAAAGCAUCUAAGCACGAAACUUGCCCCGAGAUGAGUUCUCCCUGACUCCUUGAGAGUCCUGAAGGAACGUUGAAGACGACGACGUUGAUAGGCCGGGUGUGUAAGCGCAGCGAUGCGUUGAGCUAACCGGUACUAAUGAACCGUGAGGCUUAACCUU
rnacentral:rRNA from 1 species